rnacentral:rRNA from 1 species
UACGUAUGGAGCAAGCGUUAUCCGGAUUUACUGGGUGUAAAGGGUGCGCAGGUGGCAGAGCAAGUCAGAAGUGAAAACCCGGGGCUCAACUCCGUGGAUUGCUUUUGAAACUGUUUUGCUAGAGUCCAGGAGAGGCAAGCGGAAUUCCUAGUGUAGCGGUGAAAUGCGUAGAUAUUAGGAGGAACACCAGUGGCGAAGGCGGCUUGCUGGACUGGUACUGACACUGAGGCACGAAAGCGUGGGGAGCAAA